CUCGUAGGCGGUUUGUCGCGUCGGAUGUGAAAACUCGGAGCUUAACUCCGGGCCUGCAUUCGAUACGGGCAGACUAGAGUUCGGUAGGGGAGACUGGAACUCCUGGUGUAGCGGUGGAAUGCGCAGAUAUCAGGAAGAACACCGAUGGCGAAGGCAGGUCUCUGGGCCGAUACUGACGCUGAGGAGCGAAAGCGUGGGGAGCGAACA
rnacentral:rRNA from 1 species